rnacentral:rRNA from 1 species
UAGGGAAUCUUCGGCAAUGGACGGAAGUCUGACCGAGCAACGCCGCGUGAGUGAAGAAGGUUUUCGGAUCGUAAAGCUCUGUUGUAAGAGAAGAACGAGUGUGAGAGUGGAAAGUUCACACUGUGACGGUAUCUUACCAGAAAGGGACGGCUAACUACGUGCCAGCAGCCGCGGUAAUACGUAGGUCCCGAGCUUUAUCCGGAUUUAUUGGGCGUAAAGCGAGCGCAGGCGGUUAGAUAAGUCUGAAGUUAAAGGCUGUGGCUUAACCAUAGUACGCUUUGGAAACUGUUUAACUUGAGUGCAAGAGGGGAGAGUGGAAUUCCAUGUGUAGCGGUGAAAUGCGUAGAUAUAUGGAGGAACACCGGUGGCGAAAGCGGCUCUCUGGCUUGUAACUGACGCUGAGGCUCGAAAGCGUGGGGAGCAAACAGGAUUAGAUACCCUGGUAGUCCACGCCGUAAACGAUGAGUGCUAGGUGUUGGGUCCUUUCCGGGACUCAGUGCCGCAGCUAACGCAUUAAGCACUCCGCCUGGGGAGUACGACCGCAAGGUUG